AACCGCAGCACCGACAAUUAGGUUACCACCGUGUACAUCGCCACCGCGCUUUGGUAAAAAAUUAAAUUUAAUAAUGAUUUUGAUUUUUUUCUUUUUUCUUUUUUUAUAUAAGCAGGUAGGUAUUAUAAUAUUGUUAAACUCGUAUAGUUUAAAAAUUUACAACGGUUGAAAUCCUCUCGGCUGAUUAUUCCAUUAUUACCAUCAACGUAGACGUAGAAAUUAAUUAAAAUUAUAUAAUUAAUAAUAAUAAAAAAACGUUUGAAUAUCGUACGGUUUUUUUUUUUUUUUUUUACUAGCUGUCCAGUUAAUGCUUUGCUAUUGCUAGAUUUUUUUUAUCAUUAGUUAUUUUUUUUUCUAUUUUUUUUUUGUUGCAGAAUUACCCGACGUAUUUUAAUAUUUUGUAAUGUAUUGUAAUAGGUAAAUAUUGAAUAAGGCAUAUGCGUCACGCCUUGAUGUAUCGUUUACUAAAAAACUAAAAAACAGAAAAAGAAGAAGUUUUGCAUUGAUAUAAGUCUGACACUUCAAGUUUUUAUUGAAUCGCAUUUGGAUACACAAUAUUUUUUGUUUUUUUUCUGGUACGUAUACAAAUGAAACAGAAAGUUUUUGGACGCGUGAGCAGGCCACAUACUACUGUCCAUGUGUGAAGAAAGAAUUUUCCAAAUUCAGUCCACACACUUGUAGCGAUUGUUCUCGUGCUUAGUUCGUGGUUAUUGCAAAGGUGAAUCGCACCGGAAUCUGUAAAUGUUUGAUUUCGUAUUGUAUGUGAGUUCGAAUCAUUAGGAUUUUGGCAACAGUACAUAUUCGCCUUUAAAUUGCCCAUUUAAAAUUGUAGCUAAUGCUGAAAAGAUAAUGUCCGUGUUAAUAUUCAGCCUGAGAACGUGCGGUGACCAAACCUGGUGAAUCAAGAGAAUUUAAAAAUUGAGUUGGAUAAUUGAAAAAAUCGUCUUGAUUCGUUACGGUUUCGAUAAACUUGUACGAUGUCAUUUCGCAUGGAAUAACGUUUUGUAUGCUUGUUUGAAUGGGCUCGAGCAUUAUGUUUUCGGGCGGUUACCAAUCUUGUAUUGCGUUGCUCGUUUGUUACUGAAGAUUGUAUUGCCUUUUUCAUUCAUGUUUCAGACGUACAACGACCGAUAUCACGUUUUUUAUACAUCAUAACUACACAGAAAUGGCGUUGGUCUUAUUUAUAAUAUUAUGUUAACCGUAUACGAGUAUCCGUAGUGAAGUAAUAAUAUCUAUGCACUAUUGAUCCUAGGCUCGUUUUUUUUUAAUUUACUUUAAUACAUAUUAUUGUUGUUAUUAUAUAUUUAAAACUCAGUCUCCAACAUGUCUCUGAAAUAAAGUUCGUGCUGCGACCGGUGGACACUUCCAUUUGUUUCCUUUAAUUUCUUCCAAGGCAUUUGACUAUCAUGUCUAUAUCAUAAAGUGUUUUGUGGAUAAAAUUGUAUGGCCAAACAGAAAUGCCUGGACAUUUACAACAAGUUUUAUUAUAAGUAUUAUAAUAAUAGGCGGUGAAAAAAGUCAGGCGCAAUGUAAUUGUUUUUUUUUCAUUAUGAAAGUUUUAUUAAAAAAACGUAAAAAAAACAAUAAUUAGGAAAAAUGUUUGACCGAAACUCGCUCAGAAUCGUAUUUUUUCAGAAAUGAUUUAUCGCCGUAUACAGAAAUUAAUUGAAUUACAUUAUGUUUCCUGCCUUUCCGACUCCUCACCCAAAAAAGUGGAAUGUCUAUCAGCAGUAUCAGCUUAUUAUUUUUCUUUAGACUUUAAUCCCAUGUUUUUUCUAAUUUUAAAUUAUAAUGACACAAGAAAUAUGAAUAUUUUUUUUUUUUUUUUUUUUUUUUUUUUUUAUUAUUAUUAUUAUUUAAGAUAAAAUAAUAUAAUCUCGUAAAAU